CAUCUCCCUGACUCACAGGCUUAUUCUUCAAUACGAUGGCCAUGGCCAUUGUACUGACGCUAGAGAUGUUCGUCAUCUUAUACAGAAAAAGCUCUAUCUGAAUUUGCCAAUGUAGUCUUGCAACAUACUUUAUGAAGACAUUUUCAUUAUUGAAGAAAAUACCCAUCGCCACCGUCAGGCACCGAAAUUCAAUGGUGUACUCCU
rnacentral:lncRNA from 1 species